AUUGAACGCUGGCGGAAUGCUUUACACAUGCAAGUCGAACGGCAGCACGGGGGCUGCCCUGGUGGCGAGUGGCGAACGGGUGAGUAAUACAUCGGAACGUGCCCGGUCGUGGGGGAUAACGUAGCGAAAGUUACGCUAAUACCGCAUACGAUCUGAGGAUGAAAGCGGGGGACCUUCGGGCCUCGCGCGAUCGGAGCGGCCGAUGUCAGAUUAGGUAGUUGGUGGGGUAAAGGCCUACCAAGCCGACGAUCUGUAGCUGGUCUGAGAGGACGACCAGCCACACUGGGACUGAGACACGGCCCAGACUCCUACGGGAGGCAGCAGUGGGGAAUUUUGGACAAUGGGCGCAAGCCUGAUCCAGCCAUUCCGCGUGCAGGACGAAGGCCUUCGGGUUGUAAACUGCUUUUGUACGGAACGAAAAGGCUCUGGCUAAUACCUGGGGCUCAUGACGGUACCGUAAGAAUAAGCACCGGCUAACUACGUG
rnacentral:rRNA from 1 species